CCCUGCCCCUCGCGGUGGGGCUGGGACUCGCGGGCGGGGCGGGGUCGGGCGCGGUGAUUGGCGGCCGGGCCGGGUCCAACCCUCGGCGGUGCGGGGGACGCGGGACGCGGGACGCGGGGGAGCAGCGCGGCGCGCACUGGCAGGGGUGCGCAGCUCCCAUCGCGGGCUAGCGCGGGCUCCCUCUCGCAUGGCCUCGCCGGGUCCGCCUGGCCUGCCCAUCUUCGAAGCCGCCUCUGCCCCCGCAUGGGCUGGGGAAGUUGGGAGGAGCGAGCCGGAGCCCGCACGGGGCGCGCCCCACAGCUGCCUGACUCGGCGCCCGCAGUCCAGGCGUAGCUUGCCGGCAUCAGGAGCACGAAUGCCCCGUGGAGCGGCGGGAUGGCAGGCUGUUGCUGUAUAUGCAUGCUUCCUGCUGAGCACUUCUUUCUGGGGGAAGAUGGCAGAGGCCAUUUUUCGGCAGAGACAAAGUGAUCUGGAGAGUCACCUGGCCCCUGAAGAGUGAAUGGUAGAAUCCAGCGACCCAGCCUGCAGUGAAUUGGAGCAGGUGAAAUCCCUAAGGGCUCUGACGUGCACUCCAGCCUUGUGACCCUUGCCUUCCAGGAACCAUGCAAGAAGCGCAGCCACCAGAGGUCCUUAAAACAGCAGGAAGGGUGGGCCUGUCCCCUUUUUCUGCGGCCACCUAUCUGCUGAGGAGCAUCUGGGCCUCGUUUCUCCAAGUCCAUUGGAGAAUCCAGAAGAGGGAGUCAGAGGCGUGUCCUGGUGGAGCAGGAAGAAAGGCAGAAAGCCUGACAGCUAUGGAAUACACUUAGCCAAGGCCUACUAGACACAGCAUAAAGCAAAGAAUGUGUAGUUUGCAUAGACGGUUUUGUGAUACUGCUUCUCAACAGCCCCAGCGACGUGGGAACUAGCAACAGCACACUUCUUGCCCUCAUCAGCUGCCUGAGGUGGAAAACUCAGUGGAUAGAGGACCCUGAUUCUGAUGAAUGAGGCAUGUGGUCCCAAUGCUAGAGCUCCUCUGGCAGGUUCUAAAAGCACAAUAGUGAGCAGCGGUGCCCUGCUGGACAGUACUGGCGGGGACUCAGUGAGUGCUACUCACAGAUCCACACCUGAUCCUAUUGGGUCGAGUCGGGCUGGGCUUUGGUCUGCACUGCAGCGUCUGUGUUCUUUGAGAUCACAUCACGAAUGCAGUGACUCCCCAGAUACCAUCUCAGGCUUAAGCUAGCACAUCCUAUUUCUUUUCUUCUAUGAUAUCCAAAUUGGACUGACCUCACUUAAAAUACACUGUCUGAUUUUGUCAUCCUAUCUUACCUUGGGGAAACGGGACUGAUAGCAAGACCAGUUCUGCUGAAAUUCUUGCACAGAGCAAACCUGUGCCCAUUUUUAAGCGGCAUGGGAGAGGUUUCCAGAGACAGUAAAGCCCAGUCUGUGUCUUCACAGUGCUGACACAGCAUGUUUGUGUGUAUAAAUGCAUGAUAUAGAUGUAUAUAUGUUGCUAUCACCAUGAGUUGAAGGCGAAUAUAACUGGUGGACAGGGUGGGAGAGAGAAAAUGGAAGUCUUUUUGGUAAUUAUUAAAGCAAAACAGAUAUAAACAAAUACAUAGUUUUUCUUUCACUGCUUUGUUUCCUAUUUCUGCACCAAUGCCUUGACAGUACACAGAACUAGAAAGAGAAAAUGGGAAAGAUAAACUGUGUUUAAGAAGUGCAGUCUAAUGCUUGAACUCUAAAUUUAAAAAGUUAAGGUUCUUCCUCUUUGUCAUUUUGUGAGAAUCCCUAGUCUGAAAAUAUGAAAGAAUCGUUCUUGAACUUGGUGUACCUUAGAAACAGCGGUGGAGACUAUAGGAGCUACAUACUGGUCUCCAACCCAAGGAGAUGUAGUUGGUGUGGGCCCUAGAGUCUGCCUUUUGAUAAUAUAAGCACCACAGGUGAUUUUAGUACAUGAGUGCUGUAGAUCACACUUUAAAAAGUGUUCUGUCACACUGCAUCAAAACUAAAAAUCCAUUUAAGACCUUUGAGUCAAAGAGUAUGUCAUUCCAUCAACAUUGACAUAAAACUUUUAAAAUGCUUUUUGAAAAAAGUUUUUUUGGAGACAAGGAGGAAAGUGUGGAACUUUAUAUUCAAACUCGGUAUCAGUCUGGCCAUAGUGAAACACAUCCCUGAACAGAACCCAACAGCGCUUGAUUCCAGGCUGAUGUCCACAGAAGCAUUUAGACUCACCCUGGGCCACAAGGGAAUCAGCUGCCCCAGGAGAAAGAGCCCACCAAAGUUCUGCUCAGCUUUAUCACUGGAAAUUAAUUGGGCUUCAAAUAAAUAUCAGGGGCAGGCAGACUGCAGUGACCACAGCACUCCUUGGGCAAACCCUGAUGUUGCUUAGGUCUGGAAGACGCCGGACUUGAGGUCACAGCCAGUAUGACAGCAGCAGCUGCAGCAGCUAUGGGAAUGGUGCAUCACCCCUCCCCAUACUCCAGGCAGUGUAGCCUACAGAGAGAUUCCUUUUGCUUGGGGAAAAUGAAGGAAAGUAAGCUACACGCUUUACCUGUGAACCUAGAGAACAAUCCCUGAUCUUCCCCCAAGUCCAAAAGGGUUGGGGACCUGGGCAUCUGUAAAGAUUGCAGUGUACCUGGGCCUAGAAUGCCAUGUAGGACAAAAAUGGCUGUAGUGACCACUGCCAUAGGGAACUCGUCAGCACACUUUGAAUUCCUGGAAGGCCGUCUAAAAAACAGGUACAAACAAGACCUGACUGCAAAGGCUGGAAUAAAUACCUUAUCCUUCAAUGCCCAGAUAUUGACAAAUAUCAACAGUAUCAAGAACACUGAAGUCAAUAUGACCUCAGCAAAUAGACUAGAUGAGCCGCCACUGACCAACCCUGGGGCAAUGGAGACAUGUAACUUCUCAGGAAACUCAGAGUAACUAUUUUGAGAAAGCUCAAUGAACUUCAAGAAAACAGAAACAAUUCAAACUUGGAUCAGAAAAAUUUAACAAGAAUGCUGACGUAAUAGAAAAUAGCCAAAAAAAUCCUGCAGCUGGAAAAUGCCUUAAUGAGUUGCAGUAGAAUCGAUUGAGCAGAAUAAUUAGUGAGCAUUAAAACAAGCUAUUUCAAAUACAGUCAGAAGGGAAAAAAGAAAAGAAUAAUGAGAAGGAACACAGAAUGCUUAAGAGAUCUAGAAGAGGGCUUCAAAAGAGAAAAUCAAAGAUUCAUUGGCCUUAAAUGGGGGUUGAGAAGGAGCAAAGAGUAGAAAGCUUCUUCAGAGAAAUAAUAACAGAAAACUUUCUACACCUAGAGAUAGACUGGAUAAUGUGGCACAUAUACACCAUGGAAUACUAUGCAGCCAUCAAAAAAUGAUGAGUUCAUGUCCUUAAAGGGACAUGGAUGAAACUGGAAACCAUCAUUCUCAGCACACUGACACAGGAACAGAAAAGCAAACACCGCCAUGUUCUCACUCAUAAGUAGGUGUUGAACAAUGAGAACACAUAGACAGAGAGGGGAACAUCACACACUGAAGCCUGUCAGGCAGGAGGGAGCUAGAGAAGGUAUAGCAAAGGUGGGGAGAUUGGGGAGGGAUAGCAUUAAAAGAAAUACCUAAUGUAGGUGACCGGGGUGAGAGUGGAGGCAGCAAAUCAAAAUGGCAUGUGUAUAUCUGUGUAACAACCCUGCAAGAUUUCUACAUGUAUCCCAGAACUUAAAAGUAAAAUAAAGAAAAAAACAAAACAAAAACAAAAGAAGAUACACCCUGGAACAUGGCUUGUUCCCAGUAAUUUGAAACAUUUAAAGAAUGGUUAAAUGAGCACUUGACACUUAUACUGCAAACAGGAAUGACACAGCCUGCGUUACACAUCAUUACUUUGAGAAGAUAAAUUUUAACGUCAAUUUUCAAUCUUUAAUUUUAUUUUGGAAAAAAAUCCUCAAUCUUAAAAUGAUCAUGGCAAAGAAAAGAAAGGAUUACAGUCCUUUUGCUUUUUCAAAUAACAAACAUGGAAAUGAAUUCUUAUGAAAGUCAACAGUCAAUGUAGUGUGGUAUAUUAAGAACUGACUUUCAUAUAAUGGCUAAGUUUAGAGAGAUUACAUUUCAUGAGAAACUAUUUCAUGAAUUUUAAUGGACUUUCUAUUCUGUUUUGGGCAAUGGUUGUUUGAGUCUUUUAGUGUAUUCUCCUUC